rnacentral:rRNA from 1 species
GAUGAACGCUAGCGGCAGGCUUAAUACAUGCAAGUUGAGGGGCAGCAUGAUAUACGCGAGUAUAUUGAUGGCGACCGGCGGACGGGUGAGUAAUAGGUAGGAGACCUACCUCAUACAGGGGGAUAGCAUAGAGAAAUCUGUGGUAAUACCCCAUGAGGUUAUAUGAAUAGAGGCAUAUAAUCAAAGCAUAAGCGAUUAUGCGGUAUGAGAGGGGCCUACUGACCAUUAGCUAGUUGGUGAGGUAAGGGCUCACCAAGGCGAAGAUGGUUAGGGGUUUUGAGAGAGAGACCCCCCACAUUGGAACUGAGAGACGGUCCAGACUCCUACGGGAGGCAGCAGUAGGGAAUAUUGGGCAAUGGGCGAAAGCCUGACCCAGCCAUGCCGCGUGAAGGAAGACGGCCUUUAUGGGUUGUAAACUUCUUUACUACGCGAAUAGAGGUUAGUACGAGAUACUAAUAGGAAGGUAGUGUAGUAAAAAGCAACCGGCUAACUCCGUG